rnacentral:rRNA from 1 species
CCUACGGGUGGCAGCAAUUAGGAAUCUUGCGCAAUGGGCGAAAGCCUGACGCAGCGACGCCGCGUGACUGAUGACGUCUUUCGGGAUGUAAAGGUCUUUUGCAGGGGAAGAAGAAUGUGACGGUACCCUGCGAAUAAGCUCCGGCUAACUACGUGCCAGCAGCCGCGGUAAUACGUAGGGAGCGAGCGUUGUCCGAAUUCACUGGGCGUAAAGCGCGCGUAGGCGGGUUAUUAAGUUGGUGGUGAAAUCCCGGAGCUCAACUUCGGAACUGCCGUCAAAACUGGUAGCCUUGAGGUAUGGAGAGGGAAUUGGAAUUCCUGGUGUAGCGGUGAAAUGCGUAGAUAUCAGGAGGAACACCCAUGGCGAAGGCAGAUUCCUGGCCAUAUCCUGACGCUGAGGUGCGAAAGCCAGGGUAGCGAACG